rnacentral:pre_miRNA from 1 species
AAAAAGGCAAACCCUUGGUUUCCGUGUCUAACUUUGACUGUCCGUUUUAUAUAAAAUUUUUUUAUAAUUCGUAUUUUCAUUGUUGUUAAAUGAUAAAACAUGAUUAAUAUUUUAUAUGUGACUUGUCUUUUUAAUUUUUUUCAUA